rnacentral:rRNA from 2 species
UGGGGAAUCUUAGACAAUGGGCGCAAGCCUGAUCUAGCCAUGCCGCGUGAGCGAUGAAGGCCUUAGGGUUGUAAAGCUCUUUCAGUGGGGAAGAUAAUGACUGUACCCACAGAAGAAGCCCCGGCUAACUCCGUGCCAGCAGCCGCGGUAAUACGGAGGGGGCUAGCGUUGUUCGGAAUUACUGGGCGUAAAGCGCACGUAGGCGGACCGGAAAGUCAGAGGUGAAAUCCCAGGGCUCAACCUUGGAACUGCCUUUGAAACUCCUGGUCUUGAGGUCGAGAGAGGUGAGUGGAAUUCCGAGUGUAGAGGUGAAAUUCGUAGAUAUUCGGAGGAACACCAGUGGCGAAGGCGGCUCACUGGCUCGAUACUGACGCUGAGGUGCGAAAGCGUGGGGAGCAAACA